CAGCACCUCAAGUGGUCAGGAUGAUUAUUGGGCCUAAAGCAUCCGUAGCCGGCGCUGUAAGUUUUCGGUUAAAUCUGUACGCUCAACGUACAGGCUGCCGGGAAUACUGCAGCGCUAGGGAGUGGGAGAGGUAGACGGUACUCGGUAGGAAGGGGUAAAAUCCUUUGAUCUAUUGAUGACCACCUGUGGCGAAGGCGGUCUACCAGAACACGUCCGACGGUGAGGGAUGAAAGCUGGAGAAGCAAACCGGAUUAGAUACCCGAGUAGUCC
rnacentral:rRNA from 1 species